UAUUUGAUAGUACCUACUUACUUGGAUAACCGUGGUAAUUCUAGAGCUAAUACAUGCUAAAAACCCCAACUUCCGAAGGGGUGUAUUUNUUAGAUAAAAAACCAAUGCCCUCCGGGGCUCCUUGGUGAUUCAUAAUAACUUAACGAAUCGCAUGGCCUUGCGCCGGUGAUGGUUCAUUCAAAUUUCUGCCCUAUCAACUUUCGAUUGUAAGAUAGUGGCUUACAAUGGUGGCAACGGGUAACGGGGAAUUAGGGUUCUAUUCCGGAGAGGGAGCCUGAGAAACGGCUACCACAUCCAAGGAAGGCAGCAGGCGCGCAAAUUACCCAAUCCCGACACGGGGAGGUAGUGACAAUAAAUACUGAUGCGGAGCUCUUUAGGGUUUCGCAAUUGGAAUGAGUACAAUUUAAAUCCCUUAACGAGGAACAAUUGGAGGGCAAGUCUGGUGCCAGCAGCCGCGGUAAUUCCAGCUCCAAUAGCGUAUAUUAAAGUUGUUGCAGUUAAAAAGCUCGUAGUUGAACCUUGGGUUUGGCUGACCGGUCCGCCUCACCGCGUGCACUGGCUCGGCCGAGCCUUUCCUUCUGGGGAGCCGCAUGCCCUUCACUGGGUGUGCCGGGGAACCAGGACUUUUACUUUGAAAAAAUUAGAGUGUUCAAAGCAGGCCUAUGCUCGAAUACAUUAGCAUGGAAUAAUAGAAUAGGACGUGUGGUUCUAUUUUGUUGGUUUCUAGGACCGCCGUAU
rnacentral:rRNA from 1 species